UACGUAGGGCGCAAGCGUUGUCCGGAGUUAUUGGGCGUAAAGAGCUCGUAGGCGGCCAGCUGCGUCUGCUGUGAAAUCCCGGGGCUCAACCCCGGGCGUGCAGUGGAUACGGGCUGGCUAGAGGCAGGCAGGGGAGAACGGAAUUCCCGGUGUAGCGGUGAAAUGCGCAGAUAUCGGAAGGAACGCCCGUGGCGAAAGCGAGGUCCUGGGCCCUUACUGACGCUGAGACGCGAAAGCCAGGGGAGCGAACGGG
rnacentral:rRNA from 1 species